AUUGAACGCUGGCGGCAUGCCUUACACAUGCAAGUCGAACGGCAGCACGGGUGCUUGCCCCUGGUGGCGAGUGGCGAACGGGUGAGUAAUACAUCGGAACAUGUCCUGUAGUGGGGGAUAGCCCGGCGAAAGCCGGAUUAAUACCGCAUACGAUCCACGGAUGAAAGCGGGGGACCUUCGGGCCUCGCGCUAUAGGGUUGGCCGAUGGCUGAUUAGCUAGUUGGUGGGGUAAAGGCCUACCAAGGCGACGAUCAGUAGCUGGUCUGAGAGGACGACCAGCCACACUGGGACUGAGACACGGCCCAGACUCCUACGGGAGGCAGCAGUGGGGAAUGUUGGACAAUGGGCGAAAGCCUGAUCCAGCAAUGCCGCGUGUGUGAAGAAGGACUUCGGGUUGUAAAGCACUUUUGUCCGGAAAGAAAUCCUUGACUCUAAUACAGUCGGGGGAUGACGGUACCGGAAGAAUAAGCACCGGCUAACUACGUG
rnacentral:rRNA from 1 species